rnacentral:rRNA from 1 species
GACAGAGGUGCCGAGCGUUAGGCGGAAUCACUGGGCUUAAAGCGUGUGUAGGCGGACUUCUAAGUACCUUGUGAAAUCCCAUGGCUCAACCAUGGAACUGCUUGGUAUACUGGUUGUCUUGAGCCACUUAGGGGCAGUCGGAACAGAUGGUGGAGCGGUGAAAUGCGUAGAUAUCAUCAAGAAUACCGAUUGCGAAGGCAGUUUACUAAGCUUUAACUGACACUGAGGCACGAAAGUGUGGGGAUCAAACAGG